UAUCUUAGUGGCGGACGGGUGAGUAACGCGUGGGUAACCUGCCCCAUACCGGGGGAUACCCCCUGGAAACAGGUGCUAAUACCGCAUAAGCGCACGGGAGCGCAUGCUCCUGUGUGAAAAACUCUGGUGGUAUGGGAUGGACCCGCGUCUGAUUAGCCAGUUGGCAGGGUAACGGCCUACCAAAGCGACGAUCAGUAGCCGGCCUGAGAGGGUGGACGGCCACAUUGGGACUGAGACACGGCCCAAACUCC
rnacentral:rRNA from 1 species